GAGAGGGUUGAUUCCUUCAUGGCACAGAACUGGUGGUCUGAAGUCAGUUUGCUGGAUCUCACUGCUCGCUAGCUAUGUGAUAUUGGAUAUUCAUCGACAUCUAUUCCACUCAGCAGCAGGCACUUUGAGAGGCACUGGAGAUGAUCACACCUGGAGAACCUCAGCCUCUGCCUUCAAGGGGACACGAAAAUCCAUGAUGAAAUGCCAUGUGAUACGUGCUAUGAUUCCAACAUAUGACUCAGCCCUCCCAAUUUCAUGUCAUCUGAAAAUAUGGCAUACAUGCCUUCCAUGUCUUCAUCCAGGUCCAUGAUAAAAAUUGUCAAAGGAGAGAGAAAACUUUGGCACAGUACCAGAGAUCUUCAUCCAAACAAUCUCAAAUCGUUCAUCAGCUAUGAAUCUACCUAACAUGACAGGAUCCAGCCCACAUUUCUAUAUUAAUAUCACAAGACUCCAUCAAAUGCCUGAAAAAAUGAAGAAGGGCAACAUUCUAUGCAGGGAGGAAUAAUGAGAAAAAGAGCAGAGAAACAUGUGAUCUAUUUCUCAUAUGGAGAAUAUUCUCUCUGUAUUAAAAAAUUAAUA
rnacentral:lncRNA from 1 species